GGGGUGAAAGGCCAAUCAAACCGGGAGAUAGCUGGUUCUCCCCGAAAGCUAUUUAGGUAGCGCCUCGUGAAUUCAUCUCCGGGGGUAGAGCACUGUUUCGGCAAGGGGGUCAUCCCGACUUACCAACCCGAUGCAAACUGCGAAUACCGGAGAAUGUUAUCACGGGAGACACACGGCGGGUGCUAACGUCCGUCGUGAAGAGGGAAACAACCCAGACCGCCAGCUAAGGUCCCAAAGUCAUGGUUAAGUGGGAAACGAUGUGGGAAGGCCCAGACAGCCAGGAUGUUGGCUUAGAAGCAGCCAUCAUUUAAAGAAAGCGUAAUAGCUCACUGGUCGAGUCGGCCUGCGCGGAAGAUGUAACGGGGCUAAACCAUGCACCGAAGCUGCGGCAGCGACGCUGAUGCGUUGUUGGGUAGGGGAGCGUUCUGUAAGCCUGCGAAGGUGUGCUGUGAGGCAUGCUGGAGGUAUCAGAAGUGCGAAUGCUGACAUAAGUAACGAUAAAGCGGGUGAAAAGCCCGCUCGCCGGAAGACCAAGGGUUCCUGUCCAACGUUAAUCGGGGCAGGGUGAGUCGACCCCUAAGGCGAGGCCGAAAGGCGUAGUCGAUGGGAAAC
rnacentral:rRNA from 1 species